CCAAGGAGUCUAACAUGUGCGCGAGUCAUUGGGACUUCGAAGCCCAGAGGCGCAAUGAAAGUGAAGGCCGCGUCUCGGUCGCGGCCGAGGGAGGAUGGGUCUCCCGGGAUCCUCCCUCUCGGGGCGGCGACUCGGUGCGCGCGCGUCGCCGGGGGAGCGGGCUCGUCCCGUUUUUCCUUGCUCGCGCGUGUCUCUCCGUUGUCGCCGGUCAACCCCGGGGGGGGUUCCCAGAAAUGGGGGCUCGGGCGGCCCCGCACUCCCGGGGCGUCUCGGCCUCAUCGCGAGGCGAGGCGCACCCAGAGCGUACACGUUGGGACCCGAAAGAUGGUGAACUAUGCCUGGUCAGGACGAAGUCAGGGGAAACCCUGAUGGAGGUCCGUAGCGAUUCUGACGUGCAAAUCGAUCGUCGGAACUGGGUAUAGGGGCGAAAGACUAAUCGAACCAUCUAGUAGCUGGUUCCCUCCGAAGUUUCCCUCAGGAUAGCUGGCGCUCGCUAACGCCGACCGACCACCGCCGGUCUUCCGGUGGGCGGUGCGGUCGGUUGUCGAGUCUCAUCCGGUAAAGCGAAUGAUUAGAGGCCUUGGGGCCGAAACGACCUCAACCUAUUCUCAAACUUUAAAUGGGUGAGAUCUCUGGCUUGCUCGAACGUUGAAGCCACGAGAUCGGAUCAGAGUGCCAAGUGGGCCACUUUU
rnacentral:rRNA from 1 species